AGUGAACGCUGGCGGUAGGCCUAACACAUGCAAGUCGAACGGCAGCACAGUAAGAGCUUGCUCUUACGGGUGGCGAGUGGCGGACGGGUGAGGAAUACAUCGGAAUCUACUUUUUCGUGGGGGAUAACGUAGGGAAACUUACGCUAAUACCGCAUACGACCUACGGGUGAAAGCAGGGGAUCUUCGGACCUUGCGCGAUUGAAUGAGCCGAUGUCGGAUUAGCUAGUUGGCGGGGUAAAGGCCCACCAAGGCGACGAUCCGUAGCUGGUCUGAGAGGAUGAUCAGCCACACUGGAACUGAGACACGGUCCAGGCUCCUACGGGAGGCAGCAGUGGGGAAUAUUGGACAAUGGGCGCAAGCCUGAUCCAGCCAUACCGCGUGGGUGAAGAAGGCCUUCGGGUUGUAAAGCCCUUUUGUUGGGAAAGAAAAGCAGCAGGUUAAUACCCCGCCGUUCUGACGGUACCCAAAGAAUAAGCACCGGCUAACUUCGUG
rnacentral:rRNA from 1 species